AAAGUCUUGCAGAUUCAAGCUCGGUGAAGGGUGGGGCUACAUGUAGAUAUGGGAGCAGAUUUCACAUUAUACAGUAAGGCUAUGAGUAGUCUCCCCUGUUAAAGAUCAACAAUGGUGGAUAUACAAUGCGGGAUGCUGUGUAGUACAUACUACGUACAUCAUUAACAGAGUUUUGACACCUGUAUACCUGUAUUUCUACCAAUCACCUCUGUAACCUUUGUUGUAAUCAUCAGACAGAUGAUGGACCACUCUACAUUCUUUUAUAACAGAUUCCCCUACAGAUUCACAAAGUUCCAAUGUUGAAUUUCCAUGACCCCUAUUCAUCCAUGACAGAAAAAGGAAUAAAGUUGACAGGACUUUCAUCACU